rnacentral:rRNA from 1 species
GCCAAAAAUUUAGCCCCAAUUUAACCCAUGCAUACAAUAAACCGCAUCACACCAACUAAAACAUUCUAAUAUUCUAGUAAAGGUGAUUGAAAUAACUACUCGGAGCUACAUAACAUAGUACCGCAAGGGAAGAAUGAAAUAAAAAUGAAAUAAUCACUAAGCACAAAAAAGUAGAGGUUACCCCUCGUACCUUUUGCAUCAUGGUUUAACUAGUCUAAUCAAGCAAAAUGAUUUAAAGUUUGACCUCCCGAAACUAGGCGAGCUACUUCAAGGCAGCUUAACGAGCAAACCCGUCUCUGUUGCAAAAGAGUGGGAAGACCUUCAAGUAGGGGUGAUAGACCUAACGAGCCUAGUGAUAGCUGGUUACUCAAGAAAAGAAUUUAAGUUCAGCCUAAAAUUAUACCGAAUGCUAUAAAAUAACACCCUAAUUUUAGAGUAAUUCAAAUAAGGUACAGCCUAUUUGAAAAAGGACACAACCUCAACCACCGGGUAAUUCUUAACCUCACACUCAACAAAGUGGGCCUAAAAGCAGCCAUCUUUUAAAAAGCGUCAAAGCUUAGUCGAGUUUGCUAUUAAUUCCCUCACCAUCUAAAAACCCUUAAGUAUUACUGAGUAAUUCUAUAUAACUAUAGAAGAUUUUAUGUUAAAACUAGUAACAAGAAGAAGUACUUCUAUUAUAAUGCAAGUGUAAAUCAGACAGGACACACCGCUGAUAAUUAACACAUAAAAGUAGUAACUCAACAAGAAAACCCUACUAAAUACUUUAUGUUAAUCUAACACAAGAGCAUUCCAAAAAGAUUUAAAGAAAGAGAAGGAACUCGGCAAAUCAUAACCUCGCCUGUUUACCAAAAACAUCGCCUCUUGAAUAAAUAUAAGAGGUCCAGCCUGCCCAGUGACUCUGUUCAACGGCCGCGGUAUCCUAACCGUGCGAAGGUAGCGUAAUCACUUGUUCUUUAAAUGAGGACUAGUAUGAAUGGCACCACGAGGGUUAUACUGUCUCCCCUUUCUAAUCAGUGAAACUAAUCUCCCCGUGAAGAAGCGGGAAUAAAUAUAUAAGACGAGAAGACCCUAUGGAGCUUUAAACCAUGCGACACUUGCACCAACCCAUGCAAAUUUCAGAAAAAUCUCCCCACCCAUGCAAGAUGAUCACCAGUUUUAGGUUGGGGUGACCGCGGAGCAAAAAAUAACCUCCACAUUGAAAGGAGCCCUACUCCUUAGCUUAGAGCCACACCUCCAUGCACCAAUACAAUGACAUUAAUUGACCCAAUAUUUUGAUCAACGAACCAAGUUACCCUAGGGAUAACAGCGCAAUCCACUUCAAGAGCUCCUAUCGACAAGUGGGUUUACGACCUCGAUGUUGGAUCAGGGUAUCCUGGUGGUGCAGCCGCUACCAAAGGUUCGUUUGUUCAACGAUUAAAACCCU